CCCUUAGAUGUUCUGGGCGGCACGCGCGCUACACUGACAGAGCCAACGAGUACAUCACCUUGGCCGGAAGGUCUGGGUAAUCUUGUUAAACUCUGUCGUGCUGGGGAUAGAGCAUUGCAAUUGUUGCUCUUCAACGAGGAAUGCCUAGUAAGCGCGUGUCAUCAGCACGCGUUGAUUACGUCCCUGCCCUUUGUACACACCGCCCGUCGCUACUACCGAUUGAAUGGCUGAGUGAGGCCUCCGGACUGGCUCAGGGAGGUUGGCAACGACCACCCAGGGCCGGGAAGUUGGUCAAACUUGGUCAUUUAGAGGAAGUAAAAGUCGUAACA
rnacentral:rRNA from 1 species